GACGUAGGGUCCAAGCGUUGUCCGGAUUUACUGGGCGUAAAGAGCGCGUAGGCGGCUCGUUAAGUGUGAAGUGAAAUCCCCAGGGCUCAACCCGGAAACUGCUUUACAUACUGGCGAGCUGGAGUGAUGAAGAGGUUUGUGGAAUUCCUGGUGUAGCGGUGAAAUGCGUUGAUAUCAGGAGGAACACCCAUGGCGAAGGCAGCAAACUGGUCAUCAACUGACGCUGAGGCGCGAAAGCGUGGGUAGCAAACAGG
rnacentral:rRNA from 1 species